rnacentral:rRNA from 1 species
AACUGGGGAACUUGAGUGCAGAAGAGGCGAGUGGAAUUCCACGUGUUGCGGUGAAAUGCGUAGAGAUGUGGAGGAACACCAGUGGCGAAGGCGACUCUCUGGUCUGUAACUGACGUUGAGGCGCGAAAGCGUGGGGUGCGAACAGGAUUAGAUACCCUGGUAGUCCACGCCCGUAACCGAUGAAGUGGUAAGUGUUAGAGGGUUUCACGCCCCUUUUGAGUGGCUAUGCAGCAAGAACGCAUUUAAGCAGU